GAAGGUGACCCAGGAAGUAUUCCAUGCUAUUCCUUUACGUAACCUGGGGUAUAAAUAAGGCAUAGACAAGAGAACUCGCUCUCUUCCUUUCCGGUGAGGUUUGAGAACACUGGGUCCCUGCCUUGGUCUUGCUUAUCUGGAGCUGAGGCCUGCAGUGACUGCUGUUGUCAGCCAUGUGUGAGGGGAGGGUGCUGGGCCACGUUCAGCCAUCCUGCUUCUCUCAAGGGAAGUGGUGAGAUUUUGCCAGUUCUUUAUUUUGCUGGUUUACCAGAUAUUUUAGAUUGUGCAUACCUGUUUUGCUUCUGUCCCUUUUCAUCCUUUUUUUGGUCCUUUUUUCCCUUCUCCCUUCCCCUCUUCCCUUUUAGGAAGCUAUUUGGGGUUUCUGGGGUUAUAGGUAUAUAGUAUUCUCACUGUAUAUAUCUGUUUUAUGUGUAAAAUAUAUAUUUUUGCUAUAGCUUUGGCUGUUUGGUUUUUCCUUUUUUUUUCUUCUCUCUUUGGGAAACAGGCUCUGUUGUCGAGUUUCGGAGACUUGACGGGAAACCAGCUCCAGACUUGCACAAGGUUACAAAUAGGUGGCUUCAACUACUACGUUUGCAUCUCUUUGUUGUAAGUUUUCCUGCAUCUUCCCAUUUUUGACCACGCUUUCUUCCUAUGCUCUCAUGCACAAGACAUACAUUAAUGAUCAGGAAGCUGACUAAUUUACUUCUCUGUGGAAGCUAUGAAAUGGACUUUAAAAGUCACAGCAUGAACCAUGGAUUUCAAAGUGGUCUGUACAAGCUGUAGGGGUCCACUUGUGCACAUCUCACAAUGGGACUCUAGCUCAGUCUUCAAUGAUUGACAGAAAGAUGCAUCAGAGGAAAUUCUUGUCAUAUGCAAUUCUCAGCAGUCCCUGUUGAACAAUAACUACAACACCCAACAAUGUGAGUUUUUGAAUGUAACUUCUUGGCAACAUUCCACUUCAAUCUGAGGAAAUGACUGAACCUCACUGGCAUGAUUUAUUUGUGCUGAACCCAAGGCAAACACUAGCUGACUAUUUAGGUCAUUGCUUUGUAAAAUACUGAAACAUUUUAAAUUUCUAUCGAGUUUUUAAACAAAACAGUUGAUUUAUUAAUGAGUUGUACUUGUAUGGAAUUUGAGAGGGGUGAUUUUUUAUAGUUCUGGUAUAAUAAAAUUUCAGCAUCAGGUUUGCUUAGGAGUGAAAAAUAAGAACAGCUCUAAAUCAAUGUCUGAUUUAUACUUUGUGGUAAAAUUAAAAAAGUUAAUGAGUUCUGAACAGUAUGGUCUUUCCCUCAAAUCUUUGGUACAACAAUUACUGGACAGAAAGCUCAAAAAGUUAAAAAAGACAGAAAGCUCAAAGCCACAGCUUAAACGAGAAGCAAAUUAUUCUGAUUUUUUAUGAUU